rnacentral:rRNA from 1 species
AUACGGAAGGUCCGGGCGUUAUCCGGAUUUAUUGGGUUUAAAGGGAGCGCAGGCGGAGAUGCAAGCGUGACGUCAAAUUUCGGGGCUCAACCCCGUCUCGCGUCGCGAACUGCGUCCCUUGGUUGCGGGAAGGGGAGGCGGAACUCGUGGUGUAGCGGUGAAAUGCAUAGAUAUCACGAAGAACUCCGAUCGCGAAGGCAGCCUUCCGGCCCGUCAACGACGCUCAUGCUCGAAGGUGCGGGUAUCAAACAGGAUUAGAUACCCUGGUAGUCCGCACAGUAAACGAUGGACACCCGCGGUUUGGCCUGUAUGGCUGAGCCGCCAAGCGAAAGCGUUAAGUGUCCCACCUGGGGAGUACGCCGGCAACGGUGAAACUCAAAGGAAUUGACGGG